GACACCUGGGGGGCACCUUUGGGGACACUUUGGGGGCAUCUUGGGGAUCCCCUGGAGACACUUUGGGGACCCCCUGGGGACACCCCUGCGGACACUUUGGGGGCAACUUGGGGACACUUUUGGGGUAUUUUGGGGCACUCUUGGGGACUCUUAAGGGACAGCCCUGGGGACACCUGGGGGGCACCGUAGGGGCACUUUGGGGACCACCCUUGGGGACCUCCUGGGGACACUUUAGGGACAACCCUGGGGACCCCCUUGGGGACACUUUGGGGACACUUUGGGACCACCCUUGGGGACCUCCUGGGGACACUUUAGGGACAACCCUGGGGACCCCCUUGGGGACACUUUGGGGACACUUUGGGACCACCCUUGGGGACCUCCUGGGGACACGUAAGGGACAGCCCUGGGGACCCCCUGGGGACCCCCUUGGGGACACUUUGGGGGCAUCUUGGGGAUCCCCUGGAGACACUUUGGGGACACCCCUGCGGACACUUUGGGGGCAACUUGGGGACACUUUGGGGACCCCCUUGGGGACACUUUGGGGGCAUUUUGGGGCACCUUUGGGGACACUUAAGGGACAGCCCUGGGGAGACCCUGGGGACACCCGGGGGGCACCUUGGGACCACCCUUGGGGACCUCCUGGGGACACUUUGGGGACUCCCUGGGGACAAUUUGGGGACCCCCUGGCUCCCCCUGCACCCCAUCAGGAGGCAAUUUGGGGCCAAACCCACCUCUCCCCCCCACCCCCAGCAGUGUUUUCUCCCCACGGGGAUGUCACCCCCUUGUCCCCAUGUCCCUCAGUGGCUGUCCCCGUGUCCCCAUGUCCCCGUGUCCCCAAAUCCCCGUGUCCCCCGACCUUAAUUUUUUUUUUUACCCUCUUUUUCCCCGUUUUGGCAGGUUUUUGCAUGGGCGGGGCCCCCCCGGCGCCAUGGGGCAGAGCGAGUCGGAGCCGCAGGAGGACACGGAGGACGCCUCCCUGACGGCCGUCCUGCCCAAGCUCUUCGCCGAGGAGCAGCUCUCCACCGGCGCGAAAUCCCUGCCCAGGAGACCCCCAAAUAUCGCUUCCGCAAACGGGACAAGAUGCUCUUCUACGGCCGCAAGAUCAUGCGGAAGGUGACGCUGUG
rnacentral:lncRNA from 1 species